AGUGCCGGGUCUCUCUCACGUAGAGGGCGUCGUCGCUGCACUCGUUGAUAUCCUUCACGCGUUCGUCUCCUGCGACCUUGACAACGCCGCCUUCGUCAGCAAGAUCUACGUCCGGCUGCUGCUCUGCGAGGACACUGCGGUAAGCUUUGCGGCGAAGCAGGCUCUCAUCCGUGUGCUGCGUCCGCGCACACGCCGCCGCCGUGUCUACAUCCCGUCACCUCCCAGGUGCUCCACUCCAGGACCCGUGCAGGAAGAAGACAAGCGAGAUGACUCCGCCCCCGCCCCCGCGCCCGCACCAGCGGCGGCGGCGGCAGCAG